rnacentral:snoRNA from 1 species
UGCAAAUGAUGCUAACUUUUUGCUGUCUAAAUACACUUUGAUGACAACCACCAAGAUCGCUGAUGCA